rnacentral:rRNA from 1 species
UACGUAGGGGGCAAGCGUUGUCCGGAAUCAUUGGGCGUAAAGAGCGUGUAGGCGGCUCGGUAAGUCCGCUCUGAAAGCCCGGGGCUCAACCCCGGGAGGCGGGCGGAUACUGUCGGGCUAGAGUCCGGAAGAGGCGAGUGGAAUUCCCGGUGUAGCGGUGAAAUGCGCAGAUAUCAGGAGGAACACCAAUGGCGAAGGCAGCUCGCUGGGACGGUACUGACGCUGAGACGCGAAAGCGUGGGGAGCAAACAGG